CUUCAAGCUUGUUUUAAAUCGCACAGAUAUAUGCAGCAGUACGAAACUUAGCAAAACAAAAAAUUUGAUCUCUUUCUGAUUCAAGAUUCUAAUUAUUAUUUAGUCUUUCUGAAAUAAAUAUAGGACAUUAACUUUCCAAAUAAAUAUAAUUCCGAAUUAGGAUGAGUGCUCCUAGUGAAUUGAUGAAUCAGAGAAUAUAACGUAAAGUGAUAGCAUCAAUAUGGGGUAGAAGGCCUGGUGAUCCUAGUUAUGUGAGUAAUGAAGCUCUCAGGGGAAUGUGUGAAAACGUCAUGCAUUUGUUGACUACAACAGUAGAGAACAUGGAAAAUAUUCUCUGGCCCACAAUAUUAGAUUGUUUAAUACAAUAAAAUCUGACAUCUGCCGUGAGUCCAAUUUGUAAAAGUCUUACUGCUUUAGCUUCAAAGAAAAGAGAAGAAUUGGGAACUGAUUUCACUAUAAACUUUAACACUCUGAGUGGUAUAACAUCUUCUCAGAUUCUUCUUGCUAGACUUCUUGUUUUGAUUGGCUACCCAUCUGAAGAUC